CGACUCGCUGCCCUCCAGAGGCCGGAGUCGGGGAGCUGCCCCCGACCCUGCACACCCCCUCGAGAUGUCUGGGGGGCCCUCACCCUCACAAGCAGGAGGAAAACCCGUUUCCGCUCGCGCCCCUCCGGCGCCAAUCGCGGAGGGCUUUUGGAGGAGCGGCGCACCGGGGACCCCGUCCUUCCCAAGCCGCGGCUGCGCGAGCGCCCGCGACACGAACUGCCCGAGCAGUGGCUUUCCCUCUUCACUGUCACCUCCUCCUUCUCACAGUGAAACCAACACAAGACUAGACAUAGAGUGGAAGUGAUUGCGUCCUCCAAGACUCAGAAAAUCUCUACAGCCCAUACAGGGGAGUCAUGUCCACCUCCACGCCCGGCGGCACGCUGAACUCCACCUGCUGCAGCAGGAUGGCCAGGAAGAGGAAGACCUCCAGGCGG